UACGUAGGGUGCAAGCGUUGUCCGGAAUUAUUGGGCGUAAAGAGCUCGUAGGCGGUUUGUCGCGUCUGCUGUGAAAACCGGAGGCUCAACCUCCGGCCUGCAGUGGGUACGGGCAGACUAGAGUGCGGUAGGGGAGAUUGGAAUUCCUGGUGUAGCGGUGGAAUGCGCAGAUAUCGGGAGGAACACCAAUAGCGAAGGCAGCUCGCUGGGACGUUACUGACACUGAGGCGCGAAAGCGUGGGGAGCGAACAGG
rnacentral:rRNA from 1 species